rfam:Triticum aestivum genome assembly, contig: Triticum_aestivum_CS42_TGACv1_scaffold_221272_3B
AAGGUACUCCCUCCGUCCUAAAAUUCUUGUCUUAGAUUUGUCUAGAUACGGAUGUAUCUAACACUAAAACGUGACUUGAUACAACCGCAUUUAGACAAAUCUAAGACAAGAAUUUUGGGAUGGAGGGAGUAGAAA